rnacentral:hammerhead_ribozyme from 1 species
AUCCAACUGACGAGUUCCAAAUUGGACGAAACGCGCGUCCUGGAU